AUGUAUUGAGAGUGUGUUUCAGCGAAAGUAUUUAAGAUAUGUCCAAUGGGCAAUAUAAUUUGUCAGCAAACAUCAGACUUUUGUAUUCUAAGCGGAAACUGUAGGUGAUGUAAAAAAAGUAUGUAUGGGACUUUUACUCAGUAGCACUUAAAUAUCUUGGAAAACUAGAAAUGGUUCGUGGAAAUUUCAAUUCGAGGCUUAAUUUUGUGGUCUGUGUAAUUUCAACUUCAGAACGCUUUAUUUGACUUUUAUCUGUACAGGAGACAUAGUAUUUGGCACUCUGCUAAAAUAAACUUACGCUGCGCAAGAAGCUUAAGAAUAUACAUGCCAAAAGCCAACUUUCAAGCUUUUAUAGUUUCAGAUAUUUCAGCGUUCAUACGGACAGAUAUUAAAUAAAUAGAGACGUACACUGAAAUAUCCAGAUAUCGUUAAUUCGGAAACUCAAUGGUCGUUGACAAGUACAAGGUUUCUGAAGCUAGCACGAGAUAGAGUAAAGGAAAAUUACAGCCUCAAAGUGCUAAACGAAUUGAAAAAGGAUUUAAUUGACGACGAUCUACUUAAUAUUGGAACUCGUACAAUUUUACAUGCCACCCUAAAAGCAAAAGCUCGUAAAGUGGUUACAAAGGCGAAAAAUAAGAAACUAACAAUUCAAGACGCCCGACAAAGCUUUUAUUUUCACCUUGCAUCAUCCGCCGAGAUGUAGACUAGAGCUGGGAAACUAUAGAUGGCACUAUCCACGUAUCGAAUGUUUAACUUUCUCGGCCACCAUCGAUAGUUUAUAGUCGCUAUCGAUGGUGCUGGAUUAGCGUUAAUUGGACGUUGGUUAUGGCUCUAAGCAUUGAUAAAUAUAUAGUGAAUUUGAAAAGAAAA